UACGUAGGGGGCAAGCGUUGUCCGGAUUCAUUGGGCGUAAAGAGCGUGUAGGCGGCCUGAAAGGUCAGCUGUGAAAACUCGAGGCUCAACCUCGAGACGUCGGUUGAAACCAUCUGGCUAGAGUCCGGAAGAGGAGUGUGGAAUUCCCGGUGUAGCGGUGAAAUGCGCAGAUAUCGGGAAGAACACCGAUGGCGAAGGCGAUCACCUGGGGUUCAACUGACGCUGAGGAGCGAAAGCUAGGGGAGCAAACGGG
rnacentral:rRNA from 1 species